AUACGGAGGGGGCGAGCGUUGUUCGGAAUCAUUGGGCGUAAAGGGCGCGUAGGCGGCUGUCCAAGUCGGAUGUGAAAUCCCUCGGCUCAACCGAGGAACUGCAUCCGAUACUGGGCGGCUAGAGUCCGGGAGAGGGUGGCGGAAUUCCCAGUGUAGCGGUGAAAUGCGUAGAUAUUGGGAAGAACACCGGUGGCGAAGGCGGCCACCUGGACCGGAACUGACGCUGAGGCGCGAAAGCCAGGGGAGCGAAUGGGAUUAGAAACCCCAGUAGUCC
rnacentral:rRNA from 1 species